AAGCGCUUACAAUCAGACUUGAGCUUAACGGUUCCCCCUUCGUUCUCGUUGGGUUAUUCCGUUUUGUCCAGGCCAACAUCAGUUCGGGUGGUUGGUUAAAGGCUUUGGGAAUGUAUCUACCCCCCGGGGUCGACUUAUAGCCCAGAGUGUCAUGCAGCCUACCUGGACUGAGGAACGCGCUUCGGCUCGGAUGUUGGCGUAAUGGUUGUAAGCGA
rnacentral:rRNA from 1 species